rnacentral:rRNA from 1 species
UAUAACCGGCGAUACCCGAAUGGGGAAACCCAGUGUGACUCGUCACACUAUCAUUAACUGAAUCCAUAGGUUAAUGAGGCGAACCGGGGGAACUGAAACAUCUAAGUACCCCGAGGAAAAGAAAUCAACCGAGAUUCCCCCAGUAGCGGCGAGCGAACGGGGAGGAGCCCAGAGCCUGAAUCAGCAUGUGUGUUAGUGGAAGCGUCUGGAAAGGCGCGCGAUACAGGGUGACAGCCCCGUACACAAAAGCGCAUGUGCUGUGAGCUCGAUGAGUAGGGCGGGACACGUGGUAUCCUGUCUGAAUAUGGGGGGACCAUCCUCCAAGGCUAAAUACUCCUGACUGACCGAUAGUGAACCAGUACCGUGAGGGAAAGGCGAAAAGAACCCCGGCGAGGGGAGUGAAAAAGAACCUGAAACCGUGUACGUACAAGCAGUGGGAGCACCCUUUGGGUGUGACUGCGUACCUUUUGUAUAAUGGGUCAGCGACUUAUAUUCUGUAGCAAGGUUAACCGAAUAGGGGAGCCGGAGGGAAACCGAGUCUUAACCGGGCGUUAAGUUGCAGGGUAUAGACCCGAAACCCGGUGAUCUAGCCAUGGGCAGGUUGAAGGUUGGGUAACACUAACUGGAGGACCGAACCGACUAAUGUUGAAAAAUUAGCGGAUGACCUGUGGCUGGGGGUGAAAGGCCAAUCAAACCGGGAGAUAGCUGGUUCUCCCCGAAAGCUAUUUAGGUAGCGCCUCGUGAAUUCAUCUCCGGGGGUAGAGCACUGUUUCGGCUAGGGGGCCAUCCCGGCUUACCAACCCGAUGCAAACUGCGAAUACCGGAGAAUGUUAUCACGGGAGACACACGGCGGGUGCUAACGUCCGUCGUGAAGAGGGAAACAACCCAGACCGCCAGCUAAGGUCCCAAAGUCAUGGUUAAGUGGGAAACGAUGUGGGAAGGCCCAGACAGCCAGGAUGUUGGCUUAGAAGCAGCCAUCAUUUAAAGAAAGCGUAAUAGCUCACUGGUCGAGUCGGCCUGCGCGGAAGAUGUAACGGGGCUAAACCAUGCACCGAAGCUGCGGCAGCGACACUGUGUGUUGUUGGGUAGGGGAGCGUUCUGUAAGCCUGUGAAGGUGUGUCGUGAGGCAUGCUGGAGGUAUCAGAAGUGCGAAUGCUGACAUAAGUAACGAUAAAGCGGGUGAAAAGCCCGCUCGCCGGAAGACCAAGGGUUCCUGUCCAACGUUAAUCGGGGCAGGGUGAGUCGACCCCUAAGGCGAGGCCGAAAGGCGUAGUCGAUGGGAAACGGGUUAAUAUUCCCGUACUUGGUGUUACUGCGAAGGGGGGACGGAGAAGGCUAUGUUGGCCGGGCGACGGUUGUCCCGGUUUAAGCGUGUAGGUGUGUGUUCCAGGUAAAUCCGGUUCACUUUAACACUGAGGCGUGACGACGAGGCACUACGGUGCUGAAGCAACAAAUGCCCUGCUUCCAGGAAAAGCCUCUAAGCAUCAGGUAACAUCAAAUCGUACCCCAAACCGACACAGGUGGUCAGGUAGAGAAUACCAAGGCGCUUGAGAGAACUCGGGUGAAGGAACUAGGCAAAAUGGUGCCGUAACUUCGGGAGAAGGCACGCUGACACGUAGGUGAAGUGAUUUACUCAUGGAGCUGAAGUCAGUCGAAGAUACCAGCUGGCUGCAACUGUUUAUUAAAAACACAGCACUGUGCAAACACGAAAGUGGACGUAUACGGUGUGACGCCUGCCCGGUGCCGGAAGGUUAAUUGAUGGGGUCAGCGCAAGCGAAGCUCCUGAUCGAAGCCCCGGUAAACGGCGGCCGUAACUAUAACGGUCCUAAGGUAGCGAAAUUCCUUGUCGGGUAAGUUCCGACCUGCACGAAUGGCGUAAUGAUGGCCAGGCUGUCUCCACCCGAGACUCAGUGAAAUUGAACUCGCUGUGAAGAUGCAGUGUACCCGCGGCAAGACGGAAAGACCCCGUGAACCUUUACUAUAGCUUGACACUGAACAUUGAGCCUUGAUGUGUAGGAUAGGUGGGAGGCUUUGAAGUGUGGACGCCAGUCUGCAUGGAGCCGACCUUGAAAUACCACCCUUUAAUGUUUGAUGUUCUAACGUGGACCCGUUACCCGGGUUGCGGACAGUGUCUGGUGGGUAGUUUGACUGGGGCGGUCUCCUCCUAAAGAGUAACGGAGGAGCACGAAGGUUGGCUAAUCCUGGUCGGACAUCAGGAGGUUAGUGCAAUGGCAUAAGCCAGCUUGACUGCGAGCGUGACGGCGCGAGCAGGUGCGAAAGCAGGUCAUAGUGAUCCGGUGGUUCUGAAUGGAAGGGCCAUCGCUCAACGGAUAAAAGGUACUCCGGGGAUAACAGGCUGAUACCGCCCAAGAGUUCAUAUCGACGGCGGUGUUUGGCACCUCGAUGUCGGCUCAUCACAUCCUGGGGCUGAAGUAGGUCCCAAGGGUAUGGCUGUUCGCCAUUUAAAGUGGUACGCGAGCUGGGUUUAGAACGUCGUGAGACAGUUCGGUCCCUAUCUGCCGUGGGCGCUGGAGAACUGAGGGGGGCUGCUCCUAGUACGAGAGGACCGGAGUGGACGCAUCACUGGUGUUCGGGUUGUCAUGCCAAUGGCACUGCCCGGUAGCUAAAUGCGGAAGAGAUAAGUGCUGAAAGCAUCUAAGCACGAAACUUGCCCCGA